rnacentral:rRNA from 1 species
CACGUAGGGGACGAGCGUUGUCCGGAUUCAUUGGGCGUAAAGCGCGCGUAGGCGGCUCGGAAAGUCGGUCGUGAAAUGCCGGGGCUCAACCCCGGGACUGCGUCCGAUACUUCCGGGCUGGAGGUAGGUAGGGGAGAUCGGAAUUCCUGGUGUAGCGGUGAAAUGCGCAGAUAUCAGGAGGAACACCGAUGGCGAAGGCAGGUCUCUGGGCAUUAACUGACGCUGAGGAGCGAAAGCAUGGGGAGCGAACAGG